rnacentral:rRNA from 1 species
UACGUAGGGAGCAAGCGUUGUCCGGAAUCAUUGGGCGUAAAGCGCGCGUAGGUGGCUUCAUAAGUCCGUUGUGAAAGUCAAAGGCUCAACCUUUGAAAGCCGAUGGAUACUGUGGAGCUAGAGUACGGAAGAGGCGAGUGGAAUUCCUGGUGUAGCGGUGGAAUGCGCAGAUAUCAGGAGGAACACCAAUAGCGAAGGCAGCUCGCUGGGACGUUACUGACACUGAGGCGCGAAAGCGUGGGGAGCGAACCGG